rnacentral:lncRNA from 1 species
CUUCAAACAAUUUCUAGCAAUCAGAUUUUAUCCUAGGCAUUCCUUCAACAGGUGUGUGGUACCUCCACUGAAAAUCUUGGUUAGGUCCAAUCAUUAACAUAACAACAUUGAGUGCAUCCAACAAACGGAUGUCCAGGCCUGAGUGUGGCUUGGCCAACCUGAGCAUUGAUCUGAAGGUCAAUAAGAUGGUCAUAUGAUGGAUGAUAAUUUUAAUAUAUAAUAGACACC